rnacentral:snRNA from 1 species
AGUUCCCUGGAAAGGGGCG